UACGUAGGUGGCAAGCGUUGUCCGGAUUUAUUGGGUUUAAAGGGUGCGUAGGCGGCCGCCUAAGUCAGUUGUGAAAUACCCCGGCUCAACCGGGGGGUGCGAUUGAUACUGGGCGGCUCGAGUAACAGCGAGGUUGGCGGAAUUGACGGUGUAGCGGUGAAAUGCAUAGAUAUCGUCAAGAACACCGAUAGCGAAGGCAGCCAACUAGGGUUAACUGACGCUGAGGCACGAAAGUGCGGGAU
rnacentral:rRNA from 1 species